rnacentral:rRNA from 1 species
CUGGUUGAUCCUGCCAGAGGUUACUGCUAUCGGUGUUCGCCUAAGCCAUGCGAGUCAUAUGUUCUUCGUGAACAUGGCGUACUGCUCAGUAACACGUGGAUAACCUGCCCUUGGGUCCGGCAUAACCCCGGGAAACUGGGGAUAAUUCCGGAUAACGCAUAUAUGCUGGAAUGCUUUAUGCGUAAAAUGGAUUCGUCUGCCCAAGGAUGGGUCUGCGGCCUAUCAGGUAGUAGUGGGUGUAAUGUACCUACUAGCCGACGACGGGUACGGGUUGUGAGAGCAAGAGCCCGGAGAUGGAUUCUGAGACAUGAAUCCAGGCCCUACGGGGCGCAGCAGGCGCGAAAACUUUACAAUGCGGGAAACCGCGAUAAGGGGACACUGAGUGCCAGCACCAUGUGUUGGCUGCCCGCAUGUAUAAAUCACAUGUGUUAGCAAGGGCCGGGCAAGACCGGUGCCAGCCGCCGCGGUAACACCGGCGGCCCGAGUGGUGAUCGUGAUUAUUGGGUCUAAAGGGUCCGUAGCCGGUUUGGUCAGUCCUCCGGGAAAUCUGACGGCUCAACCGUUAGGCUUUCGGGGGAUACUGCCAGGCUUGGAACCGAGAGAGGUAAGAGGUACUACAGGGGUAGGAGUGAAAUCUUGUAAUCCCUGUGGGACCACCUGUGGCGAAGGCGUCUUACCAGAACGGGUUCGACGGUGAGGGACGAAAGCUGGGGGCACGAACCGGAUUGGAUACCCGGGUAGUCCCAGCCGUAAACGAUGCUCGCUAGGUGUCAGGCAUGGCGCGACCGUGUCUGGUGCCGUAGGGAAGCCGUGAAGCGAGCCACCUGGGAAGUACGGCCGCAAGGCUGAAACUUAAAGGAAUUGGCGG